GACGAACGCUGGCGGCGUGCCUAAUACAUGCAAGUCGAACGGAGCGGCGGACGGGUGAGUAAUGCCUAGGAAUCUGCCUGGUAGUGGGGGAUAACGUCCGGAAACGGGCGCUAAUACCGCAUACUAUCAGAUGAACCUAGGUCGGAUUAGCUAGUUGGUGGGGUAAUGGCCUACCAAGGUGACGAUCAGUAACUGGUCGGAGAGGAUGAUCAGUCAACCUGGACCGAGGACACGGUCCAGACUCCUACGGGAGGCAGCAGGGGGGAAUAUUGGACAAUGGGCGAAAGCCUGAUCCAGCCAGGCGGCGUGGGUGAAGAAGGUCUUCGGAUUGGAAAGCACUUUAAGUUGGGAGGCGGUACCAACAGAAUAAGCACCGGCUAACUUCGUGCCAGCAGCCGCGGUAAUAC
rnacentral:rRNA from 1 species